rnacentral:rRNA from 1 species
GACGAACGCUGGUGGCGUGCCUAACACAUGCAAGUCGAACGAAGUUCUUACGGAUUGCGGCUUCGGCCAAUUGAAAUUUGAAGUUAGCGGCGGACGGGUGAGUAACACGUGGGUAACCUGCCCAUAAGACUGGGAUAACUCCGGGAAACCGGGGCUAAUACCGGAUAACAUUUUGAACUGCAUGGUUCGAAAUUGAAAGGCGGCUUCGGCUGUCACUUAUGGAUGGACCCGCGUCGCAUUAGCUAGUUGGUGAGGUAACGGCUCACCAAGGCAACGAUGCGUAGCCGACCUGAGAGGGUGAUCGGCCACACUGGGACUGAGACACGGCCCAG